rnacentral:rRNA from 1 species
UACGUAGGGAGCAAGCGUUGUCCGGAAUCAUUGGGCGUAAAGCGCGCGUAGGCGGCCUUGUAAGUCCGUUGUGAAAGUCAAAGGCUCAACCUUUGAAAGCCGAUGGGUACUGUGAGGCUAGAGUCCGGAAGAGGCGAGUGGAAUUCCUGGUGUAGCGGUGGAAUGCGCAGAUAUCAGGAGGAACACCGGUGGCGAAGGCGGGUCUCUGGGCCGAUACUGACGCUGAGGAGCGAAAGUGUGGGGAGCGAACAGG